UGGUGGAGUGAUUUGUCUGGUUAAUUCCGAUAACGAACGAGACCUUAACCUGCUAAAUAGACUGACCAAUUCAUUGGUUUAGUCUUCUUAGAGGGACUAUGUUUCGAUAAGAUCAUGGAAGUUUGAGGCAAUAACA
rnacentral:rRNA from 1 species